rnacentral:lncRNA from 1 species
AUGUGGCUUGUUUCCUUUCUGCUGAACGCAGUCCAAAUGAGAACCGUUAUCCAAACUUUAUUUUUCCAGGAUUGCAGCCCAAGUUUUUGUUGCUUGAAUUCUCAAUACAUUGUAUGCCUCUCUCUUUUCCAGACAAAUCCAGAACCAAGUCAAUCAAGUCACAUGCUUGAUCUAUUAGAUGUUGCAAUAGAUUCUGUAAAUAAUGCCAAUGCUUCGAAUGUUGAUCCAUGGGGAAUGACAAAACCAACAGCAUCUCUAGGAAACCUUCCAAAGUCCCAGAAUGAUUCUUGGAGCUCACCUGGCGCAGGAGCUCCUGCACAAGAUCCAUGGGCUCCUGUCUCUGCACAGUCUGUCCAAAAACCGGAUCCAUGGAGUCCAACACUUGCACAAUCAGCAAGUCGUCCGGUAGCAGCCUCUGACCCCUGGGCCGCUCCGUCUCUUUCGUCCCUUAGUCCUACAGAUAAUGACAGUACAAUCGAUGAAUUUGCUGCAAUUAGUAAAAGAAACGUCCACAACAAUUGUAACAAUAUCAAUAACAGUAGUAAUAGUAAUAGCAACGGUAACAACAACAACAAUCUUAUCCAGUCAGAUCCAUUCGAUUUAAAUGGCUUGUCCGAUGACCUUCUCUCAGUCUCACCUAAUCAGCAACAGCCAGCAAGAAAAACGCCCCACAGUUUCCUCGGAGAAAAUUCAGCUUUGGUAAAUUUAGAUAAUUUAGUGUCACCCGGCACCUCCACCAAUUCCCGCUUUGCCAGUUCAAAGUCGGACUGCAAGCUUAGUUAA